UUGAUCCUGCCGGACCCGACUGCUAUCAGGGUGGGACUAAGCCAUGCGAGUCAACGCAGCAAUGCGUGGCACACGGCUCAGUAACACGUAGUCAACAUGCCCAGGGGACGUGGAUAACCUCGGGAAACUGAGGAUAAACCGCGAUAGGCCAAGGUUUCUGGAAUGGACACUGGCUCAAACCUAUAUGGCCCCUGGAUUGGACUGCGGCCGAUCAGGCUGUUGGUGAGGUAAUGGCCCACCAAACCUGUAACCGGUACGGGCUUUGAGAGAAGGAGCCCGGAGAUGGGCACUGAGACAAGGGCCCAGGCCCUAUGGGGCGCAGCAGGCGCGAAAAUUCUGCAAUAGGCGAAAGCUUGACAGAGUUACUCUGAGUGAUGCCCGCUAAGGGCAUCUUUUGGCACCUCUAAAAAUGGUGCAGAAUAAGGGGUGGGCAAGUCUGGUGUCAGCCGCCGCGGUAAUACCAGCACCCCGAGUGGUCGGGACGAUUAUUGGGCCUAAAGCAUCCGUAGCUUGUUCUGCAAGUCUUCCGUUAAAUCCACCUGCUCGACAGAUGGGCUGCGGGAGAUACUACAGGGCUAGGAGGCGGGAGAGGCAAGCGGUACUCAGUGGGUAGGGGUAAAAUCCUCUGAUCCACUGAAGACCACCAGUGGCGAAGGCGGCUUGCCAGAACGCGCUCGACGGUGAGGGAUGAAAGCUGGGGGAGCAAACCGGAUUAGAUACC
rnacentral:rRNA from 1 species